UGAGAGUGAUGAACUGUCUUACCCUGAUCUUGUAGAAUGGAGGCAGAAAACUGACUUAAUAUAUAUUC
ensembl:snoRNA small nucleolar RNA, C/D box 57